rnacentral:lncRNA from 1 species
GCCACCACCUCAAAACUCAAAUCUCCCUACAGAAAUUAUAGAAUUCACAUACAUCACAGAAUCCACCUACAUCGCAGAAUAACUGCCACAUACGACAAUUGUAAAGCCAAUGGAAUGUGAUGCAGUAAAGACAGAUUUUAUAUUUAUUUUGCCUUUUUAUCAAGUAAGUGGAGAGUUGCAGAUGUCAGGAAAGUUUCUAAUUGAGAAUCCUAAUGCACAGGGUCCUGAUGAGUGGCGACCUUCUCAGCGAGGACAGACAACCACACGGGUUCCUACUUCACGACCAGGGUCACCAUGGAGACAUUUCUCAUUGGAUCAGCUUAUUUUGAAGAAAUCAGUCUUCCUUUGGGAUUUCUACUUUUAGUCUCAUGGAGAGCACUUUCCCAUCCAAAGAUCAUGUGAGUAUUUCCUCUUAAUAUUUUAAUGCUUUAUUUAUACAUAUUAUAUACUUAUAAUAUAUACCAUAUUAUAUUUAAAUAUGUGUAAAAUGGUGUUUUUAUGAGGUAGAUUUAAUUUCAGUUUUUUCAACUAUUGAAAUUGUUUAUUGAAUAAUUCAUCCUUGCCUCAGUAAUUUAAAAUACCUUGUUUACCGUAUUAAAAUCUUUUAUAAAUGGCUCUAAUUCUGAAUCUUU